rnacentral:rRNA from 1 species
AUUGAACGCUGGCGGCAGGCCUAACACAUGCAAGUCGAACGAUUGGCUGACUUGUGAGUAAUCUCUUGGAUACUGCCCGAUGGAGGUGGAUAACUACUUGAGACGGUAUCUAAUACCCCAUACCAUCGGCUGUGCCGAUCUGGGAUUGGCUUGUAGGUGAGGAAACGGCUCACCUAGGCGACGAUCGCUAGCUGGUCUGAGAGUAUGACCGGCCACACUGGAACUGAGACACGAGCCAGACUCCUAAGGGAGGCAGCAGUGGGGAAUAUUGCAAAAUGGGCGAAAGCCUGAUGCAGCCAUGCCGAGUGUAUGAAGAAGGCCUUCGGGUUGUAAAGUACUGUCAGCGGGGAGGCGUUACCCGCAGAAGAAGCACCGGCUAACUCCGUGCCAGCAGCCGCGGUAAUAC